UGUGUCAAGGGGAAGCAGAGGCUCAAGGGAGAUAUUCUGAGGAAAGCCGAUUAUCCCAUGAUGCAUCAGUGCUGGCCCUGGUUGUGUAAGGGGAAGCAGAGGCUCAAGGGAGAUAUUCUGAGGAGAGAUUAUCCCAUGAUGCACCAGUGCUGGCCCUGGUUGUGUCAAGGGGAAGCAGAGGCUCAAGGGAGAUAUUCUGAGGAAAGCCGAUUAUCCCAUGAUGCAUCAGUGCUGGCCCUGGUUAUGUCAAGGGGAAGCAGAGGCUCAAGGGAGAUAUUCUGAGGAGAGGAGAUUAUCCCAUGAUGCACCAGUGCUGGCCCUGGUUGUGUCAAGGGGAAGCAGAGGCUCAAGGGAGAUAUUCUGAGGAGAGGAGAUUAUCCCAUGAUGCAUCAGUGCUGGCCCUGGUUGUGUCAAGGGGAAGCAGAGGCUCAAGGGAGAUAUUCUGAGGAAAGCCGAUUAUCCCAUGAUGCAUCAGU